UGCCCGGUGCCGUGUCCUUGGCGGGCAGAGAGCGCCGAUCGUGGCAAGGGGGGUUUGUGAGUAUGGGAUCAAUCCUGCCUACGGCGCUGACGGGAGAGGGAAGCUCUGGGGCAGAGUACGGAGAAACUCGGAAUUUCAGGUGUGGCUUAACAGAAAGCUCAGGGUGCAAAAAAGGGGGUUUUGUGUGCCCAAAUUGCCUCGAGACGGCUUUGCUGUCUGUUCUCUGCAAUUGUGCCUUCUGAACACGAGAGCAUUUCACUCGUGGUGCUGUGCCCAGCAGUUCUCACAGUGCUGGGAAACAGACGAUGCUGAAACUGGAAGGAAUUUGGCCGCGUAAAAACGAGCUGUUUGUUCUUCUCCGGUGCGAGGGCUUUGAUGUUGGUUGGCAGUAAAGUUUCCUGGUUGUCUUCUCCUCCUCUUGCUCCCUCUCAAAGUCAGUGUAGGAUUUCCAAAGAACCUGCAACAGAGAAACCUCUCAUCGUGUUUGUUCCGGGCCCACGGAGACCCCGGCAGGGGAGGAGAAGGGGCGAAGGUGGAAUUUCCCUGAGAGAAGGUUCGGAGAUCGGGCAGGGGCUUCAUGGCCCUGCCCGGAGACAGAUGUUAAUUAGUGAGUGCCGGGCCCAGCCGUGACAGCAGCAGCUUCUGUUCGAGCCGCUGCUUUACUGGCAGGUUCGUCAGCCACCCUCUCUAAUUAAAGUCCUGGCGUUUGUUCCUGAUUUUCUUUCACUCUUCCGUCCAACUUUCCACCUCUUUUCUUCUCUCUGUCCAGUGUGUCUUUUGUGUUGCUUUCUUGACCUGUGUGCUCCCCAUGCCAUUCCCUUUCACUGCUUCACUCUCUCUUGUUUUUCUUUUAAGAAAUAAAUAAUCUUUAUUUAAUGAACACCGCAGAGAGGAGAGGGGGGAGAAAUGUUCCCCGACAGCUGUGAAGUUGAAGCAGGCAGCAGAGUUCCGUGGUAGGGAUGUCCUGGUGUUCUUUUAAGAAAUCCAUACUGACCUUUAUUUAAUAAAUUCUGCUCAAUCCCUCUCCCUGUUCUGUCUCUCUGUGUCUCCCUCGCCGCCCGCAUCUUUCUCUUUCCUUCUUUCUUGCUCUCCUUUUCCCUUUGUGCUGCAGUCUGACUGUAUUUCUUUGUCCCUCUCGCUGUCCUUUUGCCUGUCCCUGUCUGCAUCGGCUGCUCGGUCCCUCUCCCUCACGGUACCCUUCUCUUGGGAGCCCCUGUCCUGCUGCCCAUCCCUCUCUUUGCCCAUCCCUCUGCUGCGCCUUGCCCAUCUUCCCCGCACGCCCCCGUGCCGCGCUCGUUUCCUCCCUCCGUCCUUGUUUCCCUCUCUGUCUCUGUAUUAUCCCUCUGUCUUUCCUGUGUGUUUACCGCUCCGUCUUUCUCUGUCCUUCUCCAUGCCUCCCUGCUGUUCCUUUUUAUUCUCGGUGGAUCCGUCGUGCUCCCUGUGCCGUUGUUUCUCACGGGAUCCUUCUGUCCCGUCCCCUGGCCCUGUUCUUUUUUAAUCCCUCUCUGUCGUGCUGCCCAUCGCAGGUGGGGGGUUUUUUUCAGUUUCAUCCUGCAGCCUGCUCUUCCUUUUCCUCCUGUGUCCCCUCUGCUCCCGCUCCCUCUUUCUGCCUCUCCUGGUCUCUCCCCCCGUGCUCCCACCGCAGCGCUCGAUGUGUCCGUGAGCGCAGGUUGGGAUCCCGGAGCCGCGGCCUCGCGGGGGCAGCAGCGGCGCGGUAGGGAAGGGAUGGGACAGCUCCUGCCCCUGCCCCGAGCGCAGGAGCGGAGCGGAGCCUGAGCGGGAGCCGCGGCAGCGUCGUGGGGCGCGCUGCCCCCGUGCCAGCCCGGGACAGCGGAGCUGGGGAGGGGCUCCGAGCCUUCUGGGGGCUGCCCCCCUUGGCUGUGCCUGCCGAGCCCCUUUCUGGGGGAUGUUUGCAUGGAAAUGGCUUUAUUAAUGUGCCGUGCUGCUGUCCAGGGCAGUUUGUCUCGUUUUGUGCGUUCUUUGGGGUGAGGAAAAACGGCUGGGGGAGGGGGUGGAGACUCGGGGGCUCUGAUGUCAUUUGGGGCCCCCCAAUGUCGCAGGGAGAGCCACGAUGCGGUGGAGGAGCAGGUGAGUGGGGAAUGAGGGGGGGCCAAUGCUGGGUGACCUCCCCCAGAGGGGCCCAAAACUGCCAGAAAAUCCACUGGGAGGGAUGUGUGUGUGACAGUGUAAAAUACUAAAAGCUGUUAAGUUCUUCAUUUUUACAGCUAUAGACAAAUGCUGCUAAUUUAGAUGUAAAUUCAUUUUGAAAU